rnacentral:sRNA from 1 species
AUUCUUCAUACUGGGGUCUCUAUUUCUGCUACUGAAAGAGGUGGUACAGAUGUUGCUGCAACUGGAGGGAGCAGUAAAAAACAAUUUUUAUCCUCCCUCUCCUGUUUUUUGUUUUCAAUGGGAUUUGUGGGUGGGACAAUGGUCCUUUUCUGGGGAUGUGUUUCUUCUGGCUUGUGGAAGUACCAUUAUUAAUGUCUAUACAGCUCUUCUUGGAUUUCUGAUUUUCCCUAAGAGGCUCAUCCCUGCUUCUUCCCAGAAGCUUUCAGUUUCUGUUGUAUUUCUCUGCUCAUAAUCUCUUUCAGAUUUACCCAUAAUUCUCUUGGCUCCUGCAGAUUCCCCACUGCUCCAAUGCAUCACCUCAGUUCCUUGUGUUUUCUGCACUGCCAGCAUGAUAUACACAAUACGCUGAUACUCCUAGCAAUGUCUGAGUCAGGUGAGGCAGAAUCUAGACCCUCUGUCAGACACUAAAAAAUGCCAUUAUCAUGGGUUGAAGUUCCACUCUUUUCUUUUCUGUUUUAGAGAGGAGCUCUAAAUUGGGAAGUAAUGCAGGAAACAAGCCUUGUAAAAAUCAACUUGGAUUCACUUUUCAGUUACAUCUGAGUGAUCUACAGCUAUUUCAAGCUGAAAGGAAAAUUUCUGGGUGUAAGCAUUUUGAAAAACCCAUCAGUGACAAUUCCUCUGUUUCACCGCUUGAAAAAAUUUCUUCCAGUGUCAAAUCCCAUCUUUUAAAUAAAUAUAGAAAUAAUUUUGAUCAUGCUCCAUUACUUCCACAAGAACAGAAAGCACACAUUAGGGAAAAAGCUUAUAAAUGUAAUGAGCAUGGCCAAGUCUUUAGAGUAUCUGCAAGCCAUACUAACCAAGUAAUCCAUAAUGCAGAUAAUCCUUACAAAUGCAGUGAAUGUGGCAAGGUCUUUAGUUGCAGUUCAAAGGUUGUGAUACAUCGAAGAAUGCAUACUGGAGAGAAGCCUUACAAAUGUCAUGAAUGUGGCAAGCUCUUUAGUAGCAAUUCAAACCUUUCACAACAUCAAAGAAUUCAUACUGGAGAGAAGCCUUACAAAUGUCAUGAAUGUGACAAGGUCUUUCGAAGCAGUUCAAAGCUUGCACAACAUCAAAGAAUUCAUACUGGAGAGAAGCCUUACAAAUGUCAUGAAUGUGACAAGGUCUUCAAUCAAAUUGCACACCUUGUACGACAUCAAAAAAUUCAUACUGGAGAGAAACCUUACAGUUGUAAUAAAUGUGGCAAGGUCUUCAGUCGCCAUUCAUAUCUAGCAGAACAUCAAACAGUUCAUACUGGUGAGAAACCUUACAAAUGUGAAGAAUGUGGCAAAGCAUUUGCAGAGCGUUCCAGCCUCAUAACCCAUCAGUUAAUUCACACUGGAAGGAAACCUUACAAAUGUAAAGAAUGUGACAAAGUCUUUGGGCGCAAGUGUUUCCUGACCUCCCAUCAGAGAAUUCAUACUAGAGAGAGACCUUAUGGAUGCAGUCAGUGUGACAAGAUCUUUAGUCAGAAAUCAGACCUUAUACGACAUCGAAAAACUCAUACUGAUGAGAAGCCUUACAAAUGUAAUAAAUGUGGCACAGCAUUUAGAGAGUUUUCAGACCUCACUGCCCAUUUUCUAAUCCAUAGUGGAGAGAAACCUUAUGAAUGUAAAGAAUGUGGCAAAGUCUUCAGGUACAAGUCUUCUCUAACCAGUCAUCAUAGAAUUCAUACUGGAGAGAAGCCUUACAAAUGUAACAAAUGUGGCAAGGUCUUCAGUCGUAGUUCAAACCUUGUAUGCCAUCAGAAAAUUCAUACAGGAGAAAAGCCUUACAAAUGUAAUGAAUGUGGCAAGGUCUUUAAUCAAGCAUCAUACCUUACAAGACAUCAAAUAAUUCAUACUGGAGAGAGGCCUUACAGAUGUAAUAAAUGUGGCAAAGCAUUUCGAGGGUGUUCAGGCCUUACUGCCCAUCUUGCAAUCCAUACUGAAAAGAAAUCUCAUGAAUGUAAAGAAUGUGGCAAGAUCUUCACUCACAAGUCUUCCCUCACCAAUCACCAUAGAAUUCACAUUGGAGAGAAACCUUACAAAUGCACCCUGUGCAGUAAGGUCUUCAGUCACAAUUCUGACCUUGCACAGCAUCAGAGAAUUCAUUCAUGAGAGUCCCUACAAACUGUGUAUGGUAAAACCAUCAUCAUGAGUUCUAGCAUUAAUCAACAUCAGUGAGUCCAUACUAUAUGGAAAUCAUAUAAAUGAAAUGUAUGUGACACAGGCUUUAUCAAAGCCUGCCAAAUCACUAGACAUCACCACAUCACUGUGGAGGAUGAAAGCACACAGAUGAAUUGUGUGUACUUGGGCUAUUAUUCAAGGACCAUUACUAUAGAACACGAUAGGAUUUACACAAGAAGUAACUCAGUCUCUGGUUCUCUGAUACUAAUCUGUGAUAUUGCAUGCUGCAGAAUAAUGCUAAGUCAAAAUAUGUUGAAUCUCAUGACCUGAUGUAUAUCAAAGGUGCAACGGCUUGUAAAUGACCAGUUUUAUUCAGGCUAUAAAGCAUUCAAUUAUUUGGGGCUUAUAGAAAAGGCUACUUUACUUUUUAUGACUUUGAAAUCUCUUCAUGUGCCUUCCAUACAGGCCAUUCACUGUGGUCCCUGGGAAAGAAUCAGUAGGAUGACAGGGCAGACUUCAUUAGCUGAGGAUUAUUUCUAUCCAAUUUCCUGAUGGAGGACAUUGCCUUUUGAGAUUAAAUAUUGUCUGAUUUAGAGAGCAUGGAGGUGGGCAGAGUAACAUAAAACUGAUGACUGUCAUCAUACUGUUGCAGUCAGCACACUUUGUCCUGACGUAAAUGCACAGUGCUUCAUUGUCCACCAACUGACUGUGAAAUAGAGUAUGCUGCGAUCUUAAGGCAUAGGUUAUUAGUGGGAAGAGAGUAAUAGGUUGCUAGUGUCUGAUUAUAUGGUAGAAAUAAUGCAAGGUAGCCACCUUCUCCAUUGAAUAGCAGUAGCUGCUGUUUAGCAAAGACUGAUGAGAAACAGACUUUUUUUUGAGAUAGAGUCUCACUCUGUUGCCCAGGCUGGAGUGUAGUGGUGUGUUCUUGGCUCACUGCACCCUCCGCCUCCUGGGUUCAAGCAGUCCUUCUGCCUUAGCCUCCUAAGUAGCUGAGACCACAGACGUGCACCACCACACCCAGUUAAUUUUUGUAUUUUUAGUAGAGACAGUAUUUACCAUGUUGGCCAGGCAGGUCUCCAACUCCUGACCUCAAGUGAUAUGUUCGCCUCAGCCUCCCAAAGUGCUGGGAUUACAGGCAUGAACCACCAUGUCCAACCUCAUUUUUGAAAUGGAAUAGAGAACAGUUAUAUCACAGUUGAGAGUUUAAUCAAAAUGACCAGAUCAGCAUAUUCUUUUUUUAGAUGAGACAGAGUUUCACCCUUGUCACCCAGGCUGUAGUGUGGUGGCACGAUCUUGGCUCACUGCAACCUCUGCCUCCCGGGUUCAAGCAAUUCUCCUGCCUCAGCCUCCCAAGUAGCUGGGAUUACAGGCGCGUAUGACCAUACCCAGCUAAUUUUUGUAUUUUUAGUAGAGAUAGGGUUUCACCAUGUUGGCCACACUGGUCUAGAACUACUGAUCUCAGGUGAUCCAUCUGCCUCAGCCUGAAAGUGCUAGGAUUACAGGCGUGAGCCACUGCGCCUUGCCAGAUCAGCAUAUUCUUAAGUAGGAUUCACAUUUAAUUCUUGGCAUUAUAAGUUGCAACCGUUUGAUUUAGAAUAUAUGUAGCGCUCAUGUUUGUAGUAAUAAAGUCUCAUUUUUCCUAAGUAUGAAUGAA